UCCAAAACUUGUGGCAACACAGUCAAGGGACCAAAGUGUGAUGUCAGCAAAAUUAUACACAGCCAGUAAGAGAGCAUAGAAGGGAUCCCUUAAGACUGAUUCAUCACUAUUUGACUCCCCUCGAUCAGCCUGCAUUACUCACCAUUGCAGUGGUAAAAAGAGGGGGGUUUCCUCCAGCUAUUAUGGCUAUAUUCUAUUUCCACUGUCAGAACCAGUAUACCUCUUAAUAUCAGUUGCUGGGCUUCACAAACUGGGAGAGUACUACUCCGCUCAGGACCUGAUUUGGGGCAUCUUGCUGGCCACUGUAAAAACAGGAUGCUGAGUAGAUGGCUCUGUGGCCUGAUCCAGCCGGACUCUUCUUACGUCGCUGCCCUUUAAUGAAGGAUUAUUGGCAAAGGGGAAUUCUGACUCGCUUUAGCGACUGUGAAGCCCCAGUCCCCAUUCACUCGAAGCAUUAAGGUGGCUUCUGUGGGGUGUGUGAAGAACUCUGAAGGAAAUGAAUAGCUCCAGCCUGGAAUAAAAUCCCUCCCCUUAAAAAAA